rnacentral:rRNA from 1 species
CCUGCGGGGGCAGCAGUGGGGAAUAUUGGACAAUGGGCGAAAGCCUGAUCCAGCCAUGCCGCGUGUGUGAAGAAGGCCUUCGGGUUGUAAAGCACUUUCAGUGGGGAAGAAAGCCUUGGGGCUAAUACCCUCGAGGAAGGACAUCACCCACAGAAGAAGCACCGGCUAACUCCGUGCCAGCAGCCGCGGUAAUACGGAGGGUGCGAGCGUUAAUCGGAAUUACUGGGCGUAAAGCGCGCGUAGGCGGUCUGAUAAGCCGGUUGUGAAAGCCCCGGGCUCAACCUGGGAACGGCAUCCGGAACUGUCAGGCUAGAGUGCAGGAGAGGAAGGUAGAAUUCCCGGUGUAGCGGUGAAAUGCGUAGAGAUCGGGAGGAAUACCAGUGGCGAAGGCGGCCUUCUGGACUGACACUGACGCUGAGGUGCGAAAGCGUGGGUAGCAAACAGGAUUAGAUACCCCAGUAGUC